GACAGAGGAGGCAAGCGUUGUCCGGAAUUAUUGGGCGUAAAGCGUUCGUAGGUGGUUUGACAAGUCUGGGGUUAAAGCCCGGAGCCCAACUCCGGAUCGGGCCUGGAAACUGUCAGACUUGAGUAAGGUAGGGGUUGCGGGAAUUCCCGGUGUAGCGGUGAAAUGCGUAGAUAUCGGGAAGAACACCAGCGGCGAAAGCGCGCAACUGGGCCAUUACUGACACUGAGGGACGAAAGCUAGGGGAGCGGAUGGG
rnacentral:rRNA from 1 species